GGCUGUAGCCAGAGCUGCAGGUCUCGUCUUCCCUGGUUUGUGUCCUCUUCUCCUAGGGGCCCAGCCUCUGGCCCUGUGACCUGCAGGUAUUGGGAGAUCACCAGCUAAGGCGCCAGGGCCCCCUGGAAGCCUAGAAAUGAUGGAGUCUUGCUCUGUUGCCAGACUGGAGUGCAGUGGCACGAUCUCGGCUCUCUGCAACCUCUGCCUCCCAGGUUCAAGCAAUUCUCCUGCCUCAGCCUCCUGAGUAGCUGGGAUUACAGCAUUCUUUCAAGUGCACAAAAUGUGCCCAAGGCUACUCCUUAGGUGCCUGAAUCCAAUGUCUACUGAAAUUCAGAUGUCCAAGAAUUUAAGAACACGUCCAGAAAACCUGGCUGUUGUAGAAAAAAAUGUAAAUUAGAAAUGAAAAGCUUUAUC